rnacentral:rRNA from 1 species
UACGUAGGGUGCAAGCGUUAUCCGGAUUCACUGGGUUUAAAGGGUGCGUAGGAGGGCAGGGAAGUCCGUGGUGAAAUCUCCGAGCUUAACUCGGAAACUGCCGUGGAUACUCUCUGUCUUGAAUCCCGUGGAGAUGAGCGGAAUAUGUCAUGUAGCGGUGAAAUGCUUAGAUAUGACAUAGAACACCAAUUGCGAAGGCAGCUCGUUACACGAAGAUUGACUCUGAGGCACGAAAGCGUGGGGAGCAAACAGG